rnacentral:rRNA from 1 species
UCAGAACGAACGCUGGCGGCAGGCUUAACACAUGCAAGUCGAGCGCACUCUUUUAGAGUGAGCGGCAAACGGGUGAGUAACGCGUGGGAAUCUACCCAUCUCUACGGAAUAACACAGAGAAAUUUGUGCUAAUACCGUAUACGUCCUUAGGGAGAAAGAUUUAUCGGAGAUGGAUGAGCCCGCGUUGGAUUAGCUAGUUGGUGAGGUAACGGCUCACCAAGGCGACGAUCCAUAGCUGGUCUGAGAGGAUGAUCAGCCACACUGGGACUGAGACACGGCCCAGACUCCUACGGGAGGCAGCAGUGGGGAAUAUUGGACAAUGGGGGCAACCCUGAUCCAGCCAUGCCGCGUGAGUGAUGAAGGCCCUAGGGUUGUAAAGCUCUUUCACCGG